UACGUAGGGACCAAGCGUUGUUCGGAUUUACUGGGCGUAAAGGGCGCGUAGGCGGCAAUUCAAGUCAUCUGUGAAAUCUCCGGGCUUAACCCGGAACGGUCAGAUGAUACUGCUUUGCUAGAGUGCAGAAGGGGCAAUCGGAAUUCUUGGUGUAGCGGUGAAAUGCGUAGAUAUCAAGAGGAACACCUGAGGUGAAGACGGGUUGCUGGGCUGACACUGACGCUGAGGCGCGAAAGCCAGGGGAGCAAACAGG
rnacentral:rRNA from 1 species